rnacentral:lncRNA from 10 species
GUCAACAUUAUUUAUUGAUUGACUGCAGGCCUCAUUAUAUUCCAUUGGAUGGCUUUACAAAUGUCACCAUCAUGAACAUCUCACAUUAGUUCUUAUACCAUAAGGGAAAUGACCUGACAAAAAUGUGGAAUCCCAAAAGGUGCCUCAGCCAUCAAUGGGUGAAGAAAGAAAUCUUUCCUCCCCUAUAGUUUCUGGUACCCAUUGAAGGACAGCUGAGACACCCGACUUACUCUGGAGCUAGCAGAUGAAACCCUGGGACAACUGACAAAAGCCAGCAAAAGAUAAGGAUUCUUAUCAAGGAAGAAGUUGUACUCUGAAGUUUCCUUAUCUGCCUAAAAUCUGGACACACCAAAGAAGAAAACAAUCACCCCUGAUCCCUUCCCUGAGUUUUCAUUAACUCAACUCAUAUUGCAGGAAGAAAGACUGAAGUCCUUCAACGCACCUGAGAAGACUUUUGUCACAAACCAUUGUCUGCUUGGUGGGCUCAACAGACUUUGUCCCGGGCCAUUGUAUGUUUUUCAAGCUCAUUGAAUCCUCUUAAAAAUCAUUUACUAGCCCCCUAAAAUCACCCACAUUUCCCCAUCUCCCUUUCUUUUAAGAAGAAGGGUACAUAACCAUCUGUACCUUCUUGUGUGGUGUGGUAAUCACUCUGUGAUUUCUUCCAUGCAUGUUAGUAAAUGUGCAUGCCUUUUCUUCUACUAACCUGCCUUUUGUUAGUUGAGUUUCAGCAAACCUUCAGAGGUUAAAGGGGAAGUUUUCCCUUGGUCUCUACAGCUUUGGCAUCAUGAACAGGAUAACCAGUCACUCUGCUCUUCUGGAAGCUGCAGUCAAGGAAACUCAGGAUGUGACAAACUGGCAGAAGGGAAAUAAAUUCUUACCAGCUGGACUCUCAGCCUCUAUUUCUGCAGAAUCCACUGUCUUUGGCGUAGUUUUGGAUUUUGUGAGGUCUGCUUUGCACCUCUUUGGAGAUGACCUGUGUGUCCUUGGUUAAGUCAUAAUUUUGGUUAAGCUCUAUUCAUUCUGGUGAGUUACUUGGAGGGUACUUUUGGUUAAAAACAAAAACAAAAAAAGCUCAAAAGCCAAAAAUAUUGUCGAUUUGUCCUGGCUAAGAUUUGAUAAUAAGAGAUUUGAGGGAAGUUUUCUUUUUUUAAAGAGCUCUGUGGUCAGUAAGCGACUUAUUAAAAGCUGAUAUUCAAGAGUAUUUCUUUUUUAAAAUAACUCUCUGCUUUUUCUAUUUUGUAUUCUGUUUAUGGGAAGUUUUUUCAGUGAAUCAAAACCUCUUUUAAAAAGUUAUAUGCUUGCUGCUUCCAUUUACUUCCUUUCUGUGGGUAUGAUUUUUGCUAAAGAAAAAAUAAAACUUCAUUGACCUUUUACAAAGCUUAAAAAUCUCCCCAAAUUGCCUCUUAUGAGAAAAUUUCUCCCAUUUACUUUACUCCUCCUCCUGCAGUGCUUAUCUUUGAUAACACAUGAAAGAAUCUGGAAGGGACUUGUAAUGAUCCUGAGACCUCUUGAGGAACACAGAAGAAGGCACCACAAUCCUCAUUUUGGGGUCUUCUGUCUUCCUUGUGCAGUCUCAAGAGCAUGAACAGGUUACUCUUAGGUCUAAAGCUCUGCUGUCUUUUACACGGAACUCUUUUAUAUCUUUGGCUUUUAGAAACACACAUGUGCACCUGUGUAUGUCAUAUGUUGUGUCUGCAUGUACAUAUAUGUUUGUACAUGUGUUUGUAUAUUGGCUACGUGGUAACACACUAACAUAAAUAAAUGAGUACUCAUAAAUUAACUAGCCCGCUUUUCAAGUUCAUGUGGCUUUAGUAGUUUUUGGUAAAUAAAGCUAAUUUUAAAAUUGUUGGCAAAAUAGAAAUGUCUUCAGAGUUUUAGAUAUUUUUGUCUGGGUCUACUCAUCAGACUAAUUUAUACUAUUUAUGAUAGAUGUUUUCAGGUCACAAAGCUGUUGCUUCUGUGAUAUUUUUGUGCUUGUUUGAUCUGUCUAUGAGUUUAUAUUUUUGGUUUUGAGGCUUUAAAUUCUAAGGUCUAGACAAUUGGCCAUGGUCAGGCACAGGGACACAUGUGUGUCCACAGUGCCUAUGCCUCAUCCUCCCUGGCCCAUCUAUGCUUCCUGGCCAUGCUGGGAGGGGUCAGAUCCUCCAGGCAUUGUCUUCACAGGUCUGUCUUUUGUCCUGGGCUCUGCAUCUGAUACAUACCAAUUAAAAUUGCUUUCUUUCUAUAUUUCUUAUUGUAAGUUAGGUUUACUAUGUAAUUUAAACAAGUAGAUAUAAGAGAAACACUUCUGUAUGCAAAGUAUAUAAAGAAAAUAGGAUGUGUUUUUGGUAAGGAAGGUUAUAAAGAAGGUGUGAGAAUAUGACUUUUGUUAAAGAAAAAGUAGUUUUGUUUAGUUUAAAGAUUUUUAAAUGUUGUUUUAAAUUGAAGAAAUAAAAAAUGAGAAUUGAUAAAACUAAAUGGAAAAAGAAUGUUGGGAAAAGAAAGAAUAGGAAAAAAUUUAAGAGGUUAUAAAAGGUUUAUCACAAUCUUAUGUGGCCAAAGCUGAAUGAGAUUAGAUAAAUCUAUUUAUAAGGUUUUAUUAAAAUUAGGUUUCAUAUUAAUAAUACAUUGAUACAAGGGUAAAGUUGAGAGGGAGGUAAAGAGAGAGGAAGAAAGUCUCAUAUUGUCUUUAUUAGGGCUUUUGACUAUUUGGAAAACUGAGUCUCCUUUCUCUCUAAGAGUAAAGGUUUUUGCUUUUUGAAAUUUUUGAAUUAUUACUUUGGCUAAAUUAAUUAAUCUUUUAUAGUGACCUGUGAUCCUAUUUUGAUUGAGUGUUUUAAGCGUCCCUUAUUUUGAUAUUAAGUGUUUUAAACCUUUGAUAUUUGACAAACUUCCCAAAAUCAAAUAACAAAUUUUAAAUCUAUCUUUUUGACCUUAAACAGAUUUUUGGAUGUUAGGACCCUUGGAAGUCCAAAUGAGAACCCUGAAAGUCUAAGGGAGACAUAUUAGGCUUCUUUCAUAUGUUAAAAUUAUACUGUCAUUAUUGUCAAAUAAGAAAUGGUGUUUAUUUGUAUGGAUGUUAUUAAUAUGUGUUCCAAAAUUGUAUGGAAUUCCUAGAAAUCUGAUAUGUCUUGGUAUAUUAAGUAAAUUGCCUUAUCCUGAUGUUUUUUCUUCUAAAAGCUCUUUGCGAAUUCUAACGUGUUUUACCUUCAAGAAAAUUCAUGGAAAGAUCCAUGAGAAGUACUCUUAAAUACAGGUUUCAAAUAACACUGGAUCAUAUAAUUGGGCUAAAUAAAAACUUCCAGAACUCUAAUAAAAUAAGCCUAAUUGAUUCAUGAAGAUUGCUAACUCAACAUUAAGAAGAACAAGAAUUAAUUACACAGGACUGAACUGAUGGCAGUCAUAAAUGAUUUUUAAUGACUUUUUGUUUGAAACAUUGCGGAUUCUUUUUAUGUUUUCUUUUCCAGAGUCAAGAUUUUUUUUUCUUUUGAGUUAUGUGUAGCUUUCAGCAAUUGGGUAAAGUAUACUUUUGUGAGCAAAAUUGAAACAUUUACCUUUCCCUCUACCUGAUUUCUCCAGAAUUUGGAAACUGUUUAUGAGUAUUCUUAUCUUAUGGCAAUAUAAUUAUUUGCAUAAGUUAGAUAAGAAUAUGUUUUAUUUUGCAACAGGACACAAUCAGAAAUGCUGCUUAUUUUAUCAAGGUUUUGACUGGAAUGACAUAUUUUCAGAUAUGUCCAGACUGCUUUGAAGAAUUGAGGUUGACUUUAUUGAACUGAUGAAAAGCCCUUUGGAAAGGCUGACCUGGUACUUUAUCUACAUGGUUCCUUUUCAAUGUUUCUGACCUUGUGAUAUUAAUUAACGAAGAACAUAUUGCGUGCCAGGAAAUACUCUACAUGUUGGAGACAUAUCAAAAAGUCCAUAUAUUCUGGGAAUGCUUUACUAGCACUAUUGCAUUUUAUUAUACAAUCACCUUUGUUAGGAGCUGAAUUGUGUCUCCCUAACCCAUUAAUAUGCUGAAGUCCUAACCCCUACUACCUCAGAAUGUCACUAUACUUGAAAAUAGGAUUUUUGAGGGGGUGAUUAUGGUUAAAUGAGGUCAUAGGAACACCAAUCCAAUAUGACUGGUGUUGUUAUAAGGAGAGGAGAGAUGAGGCCACCGAACACGCAGAGGGAAGACCAUGUAAAGAAGACUCAGAGAGAAGACAGCUGUCUACCAGCUGGGAGGGAGGCCUCAGGAGGAACUAACCUGUGAACACUUUGGUCUUGGCCUUCUAUCUUUCAGAACUGUGAGAAAAUAAAUUUGUUGUUUACACCACCCACU